CCGUUAACGCUGGCGGCGUGCCUAAUACAUGCAAGUCGAGCGAACAGAUAAGGAGCUUGCUCCUUUGACGUUAGCGGCGGACGGGUGAGUAACACGUGGGUAACCUACCUAUAAGACUGGAAUAACUCCGGGAAACCGGGGCUAAUGCCGGAUAACAUAUAGAACCGCAUGGUUCUAUAGUGAAAGAUGGUUUUGCUAUCACUUAUAGAUGGACCCGCGCCGUAUUAGCUAGUUGGUAAGGUAAUGGCUUACCAAGGCGACGAUACGUAGCCGACCUGAGAGGGUGAUCGCCACACUGGAACUGAGACACGGUCCAGACUCCUACGGGAGGCAGCAGUAGGGAAUCUUCCGCAAUGGCGAAAGCCUGACGGAGCAACGCCGCGUGAGUGAUGAAGGUUUCGGCUCGAAAACUCUGUUUUUAGGGAAGACAUAUGUUUAAGAACUUGGCACCUUUGUCGGGCCUAAAAAAAAAGCCUCGUUUACUAAGGCCAACCGCCGGGUAAAACGGAGAGGGAGGCGUUAUCCGGAAUAUUGGCCUAAAGCGCCCGAGGCGUUUUUUAAGUUGAUGUGAAACCCGCGCUCAACCGGGGGGGUACUUGCAACUGGGAACAUUGUACCAUAAAAAAAAUUGAUUUCCAUAUUGAGGGUAAAAUUCCCAAAAUUUGGAGAACCCACGGGGGGAGCCGUUUUUUGGUUUGAACUAACCCUUAUUUCCAAACCCUGUUUUUAAAAAAAAAAGUAAAAACCCCUGGGAAACCCCCCCCUAAAAAAAAAGGGGCUAAACUUUAAAGGGUUUUACCCCCCAUUUAUGGGGGGGAAACAAAACU
rnacentral:rRNA from 1 species